GUCAUCAACAGUUAUAAGGUUGAAGCGACCUUCUUCAGAGUAUCUGACGAUGUGUGUACUACACACGAAAGCUCAUACCUUGAAAGCUUAUAUUUAGUUGGUCUUAAAGGUGCCACUGGAAUUAUUUUAAAAGAUUUUUUUUUCAUCUUCCAUCUUGAUAUUUAUUAUGAGGGUGGCUACUAGUUCAGACCAAACGGGAGAGCUAAGAAGCUGUGGAUUUCCACAUUCACCAUGAAAGCAUCUCAGAGGAAAGAAGCCCACAUCAGUCCACUUUUAGGUCCCAGAGAGAUGUAAAGAAGAACACUUAGACCGAAAAGGCUGUUCUGAACUUGACAUGUGCAUUUCCUCAGCUGAAUGUACAGCGCUGGAAUCACUUUGUUCUGCUCUUUGCAACGUGUGCUGCAAUCAACGGCAACAUUUUGGAGAAAGGAACAGAACAGGUUUUUUCAGCUGACUCACCUGAACUGCCUGCCUGAAGCCUUUCAAGACUCAACUUUUUGCUAUGCCUUGAAUGACUCCCAACUAGGGCAGCAGUCCUAUACACAUUUACCUGGAAGCAAGUCCCACUGAAUUCAGCAUUGAUUAUUGGUUCAGAAUAGCUUUGUAUUGCAGGACAGAUUCUGCUGUCUUCCCACAAAUACCGGGCAAUUCUUCUCCUGAUCGUAAAGACUGCUUCUUGGUGUUCAGCACAUGGGUAGCAAGCAGUAAACAAAUCCAAAAUAAACCAUUUAUUUCCCUUGCAUAUGUGGGUCAACGAAUGACUUUCCAUUCGGGUGAGUCACUGAGUUCCUCCAAACCCUUAAGGUGUACUGCAAAUGAAAAAUGUGGUUUGCAUUGGAAUGCAGUAAUGCAUAAGGCUUGCUGGAAGACUCAACUUUCGCUCCUAAGUCCAAAAAUCAAGGCUUUUUGACUGUCAGAUAUAUAUAUAUAUCCCUUUACAAUGAAAGCAUAAAACACCCCCUCCUCAAACAAGCAUUUAAGCCCAGGAACACGAGUUUGCACUUCGUCUAAGGCCUACCCACCCAGUGAGCCAAAGUGUGUUCUUUCUGGGUGGCUCAGAGAAUAGCACAUUGCAGUGGAAACACCCAUUUAUUUCAUUUACUGCCAUUUAUAAUAUUUUCCACUAGUUGGAGAUAAUGAAUUCAUCCAUAUUUGCCAAGAUUAUGCAGCUUAUUUAUUGCCAAAAUUAUCCAGAAUCUUUUUUUCCUUUUUUCUUUUAAAGGAAAGAAGCCAUUGCCCAUGAUUUUCCAUGAGUGCCUGGUGGUUCUUUUGGAACGAAAGUUACAUCCUUGCUAUUAACAAUGCAUUACAAUAGCUUUGAACUCUCCUGCUUGUAGCUGGGACAGAUCCCUCAAGGACACUUGCUUCAAGACUUUUAAUUGUUUGGGAUAAUUAAAGGCAGGCCAGAAAUCUGGAACUGCCCUUAGUUCUCCUCCAUGUGUGAAGGCACUCUUUAAUAGUCUUCUCACAAAAGCAGAGGGGUAUCGGCUCAUCUAUAGAUGAUUUCCCAAAUUUUAGUUACUCCUCGUUCCUUUUAGCUAAGCCGUGUGACUCACAACAGCCAUUCUGCCUGACAAAGCCAAGCAGAAUGUGGGGCUGAUCCUCAAGUUUACUGCACCAGUAAAUGCUCAGAAGGAAACCCAUGACUUCAAUGCAUCAUUUAAUACCUCCAGGCUCACCAAUCUGUGCUAAGUUCUCUCUGUGUGUGUUCUUUGCAUAUGUGGAAACAACUGAGAGUGGAAAUCAAGUCCAAACAACUUCUGUAAGACACUGUGAUCCUAGAUUUCUUGUUCCUCUCGAGGGCACUGCUCCCAACACCCCAUGUGCUGAGUUGUUAGUCAGCCAGGAUGUCUGGGCUGUUAUGGGGUCCAAGGAUUACAUCCAUGGUGGUGGGUGGAAGGACCCUGAGUGAGAGGCAGGGCAUGACCGCCCAGGGUGAGAGACUGGGAGAGGAAAGGAAAGGAAAGGUGAGAGCUAGGAGGCUCCAGCACUUUCAGUGGGAGACAAGGAUUAAGAAUUACAGUGGUACCUCUGCUUACGAACUUAAUUCAUUCUGGAGGUCCGUUCUUAACCUGAAACUGUUCUUAACCUGAGGUACCACUUUAGCUAAUGGGGCCUCCCGCUGCCGCCGCACAGCCACCGCACAGUUUCUGUUCUCAUCCUGAAGUAAAGUUCUUAACACGAGGUACUAUUUCUGGGUUAGCGGAGUUUGUAGCCUGAAGCGUCUGUAACCUGAAGCGUCUGUAACCUGAGAUACCACUGUACCUUUUCCAGGUCCACCACAUCUUUCAUAUGUGGUGGACCUGUAAAAGGGUAAAAGAGUAUUGGGAAACAAUUCAUAAUGAACUGGGGGGGAAAUGUUUAGAAGUACUUUUCAAAAAGACAAAACCAGAGUCCUUUUUGUUGGGGAAAAUUCAGACUGAAAUUCCCAGGUGUCAAAAAAAGGUUAUUUUUGUAUGCCACUACUGUGGCUCGUGUUUUGUUAGCCCCCAAAUGGAAAACGAGCGAAGUCCCAACUAAAGAAGAAUGGCAACUUAAGCUGAUGGAAUAUGUGCAGCUUGCGGACUUAAUAUAUAGAAUAUGAGAACAAGAAGAACAUACAUUUAAAGAAGCUUGGACUUUUUUUAAAAAAAAUAGUAUUUAUUAAAGUUUUAAGUUUACAAAAAGGCAAAAGAAAAAACAUCAAAUUAAGCAAUAACAAAACCAACACAUCACAAUAAAAAACCGAAAAAUACAAACAAUGAAAAGCAAAAGAAAAAAGAAGAAAGAAAACAAAACAAAACGAACCUUCCCAUAACUUAUCUUUCAUUUGCUUGUUUCCCUGACCUCCUCACACCUACCUUUUUUGUAUUCUAGGUCAAUUAUCCAUUUCAGCAAAUCCUUUCCCUCUCUUCAAAAUUUUUAUCCUGAAAAUUUAUCUUGAUCUUGAUAUAAGUUUACUUUCCCUCUUUUCACCAAUUAACAGUCUAUUUUUCUUUAACUCUUUGAUACAUUUUUGCUAGAAUCACCUAGAUUCAUUCCAACAUCAUUCUAACAUUCAUUAAUUUUACAAUGUUUCUGUAAAUAGUCUUUAAAUUUCUUCCAAUCUUCCUCCACCGACUCUUCUCCCUGGUCUCGGAUUCUGCCAGUCAUUUCCGCCAGUUCCAUAUAGUCUAUCACCUUCAUCUGCCAUUCUUCCAGAGUGGGUAGAUCUUGUGUCUUCCAAUACUUUGCAAUAAGUAUUCUUGCUGCUGUUGUGGCAUACAUAAAAAAAUUUCUGUCCUUCUUUGACACCAAUUGGCCGACCAUGCCCAGGAGAAAGGCCUCUGGUUUCUUCAGAAAGGUAUAUUUAAAUACCUUUUUCAUUUCGUUAUAGAUCAUCUCCCAGAAAGCCUUAAUCCUUGGGCAUGUCCACCAAAGGUGAAAGAAUGUACCUUCCGUCUCUUUACAUUUCCAGCAUUUAUUUUCGGGCAAUUGAUAAAUUUUCGCAAGCUUGACUGGUGUCAUGUACCACCUGUAUAUCAUUUUCAUUAUAUUCUCUCUUAAGGCAUUACAUGCCGUGAACUUCAUACCUGUGGUCCAUAACUGUUCCCAGUCAGCCAUCAUAAUGUUAUGUCCAACAUCUUGUGCCCAUUUAAUCAUAACAGAUUUUACCGUUUCAUCCUGAGUAUUCCAUUUCAGCAGCAAAUUAUACAUUCUUGACAAAUUCUUAGUUUUGGAAUCUAACAGUUCUAUCCUUAUUGUCUAUUUGCAGCCCAUUCCCAGGGUCUGAGCUGUGGAGUUUUAGUUUCCUUCCCUCUCUCUCACAGGUAUGAAAAGUCCAAAACUUCUCCCCCCUCUUCUCCUGCUUCCCGGGGGGAGUUUUCUAAUUUAGAAAUUGGGAUUUUAAUCCUUUCCAGUCGGCUCUCCAAGACUCUAGCUUGCAGCCUUUGCUUUGUUCUGACUACAAAAGCGGAAGGCAGACUUCCUGUUUAUGCCUCCCCGCUACAAUUCCAAAUUGCAAAUUUCUUCCUUUAAAAAGUUCCAAUAUGGUUGUUCUUAAAUAAUAUCUUUAAAAUCCAAUUGUUCUACUCACGGGUAGUAUCUUUUUAAGUCCAAUUGUUCACAGGAAAAAGUCAGCGCUCUCCGGCAACGGCUCUGCGGCUUCACUCUGUGGAAAGAGCAGUCGAUUCACAGCACCGCGCUGCUCACCCCACUUCGCUACGGAUCCCGCGAACGGGUUUCCCCGCGAGUAGGGGAGGCGCUGAAGGUGCCUGCCGAAUCCCACGUUCACAGGCUUCACCCGCCUGUGAUUUCUGAAGGGUCUCCGCCUUCGCCGUGGCGGCCAGACCCGAUCUCCACGGAGCAAAUUCCUCUUAGUCAGAGGAAUUCAGCCAUUAGCCGAUGGCGCCAACCGGAAGUUAAAGAAGCUUGGGCAUUGUAUAUUGAAUAUAUGGUGGGAAAUGGUGUAUAUUUGAAAACGUAGGCAGCAUUAAGAUAAAUUCAACAGUGUAUAUAAGUUAGAUGCAAUAAUGGAAUACUUUAGUUUCUGUAAAAUUUGCAGGGAUUUAUGAUAUAUAAAAUAAGCCAUGGAAAGAGAAGGGAAGUCAUUGAUAUCUUAAGGAUAUAAAAAUGAGUACUUUAAAUUGCAAAACAGAAAAUUUAAUAAAAAUUAUAUAUAAAAAGAAAAGAAAAGAAAAGGGAGGCCGAUAUUUUGCAGAUUCAGAUCUCGAUCCUGUUAAACCAGGAAUAACAACUCUGUUGCAAGUUUCACAAGGAUGUUCACAUGGAAAUGCAGCAUGCGAUCAACAAGGCUCCCUUCCUCCCCAUUUUGAGAUGGGUGCUGGGAAUAUUCCCCCCCCCCCUCGAAUGUCAUUUUAUCCUUGAAUCUGUUGUUUUUUCAUUGUACUGGUCACUUUACCUUGUUUAAAGAUCUGCUGCAUUUCGUGUGUGCGUAUAGUUUUGUUGUCAGUGCGUGCGUGCGUGUGUAUAUAUUUGUAAGUGGCUUUGAGGAUUGAUUUUGAACAUGGGAUAUAAAUAAUUUAAAUCAAUAAAUAAUGGAUAAAAUUAGAUCGCAGGAGGAAGAAGGAGCCGAAUGCAAAACAGAGAAUUGUACUAUAAGGUUACCCAUCUAUUAAAGUGGCUUCCAUACAGAGAUAAUUUGUAUGAAGCACAGAGGAGAGUUGCAGAGUGAUAUCUGCUUUGUGAAUCUAUAAAUAGCCAAGACUCUGUUCCCUGCAAAUCAUAGCCAUUUACUUCCAAAGCAAUAUCUCCAUUCUCAUUGUGGCUUAGUUCCAUCUCCACUCAAUGUCCCGUUAGUAGCAAAUUAAUUCAGUAUCCACACCAGCCCUGUGAAUCAGAAAAUUUAAUGUCGAGUAUUAGUUUGGCCGCUGAGUUAUUCCCAUUGGGGUAUGAAUGCCCCAUUCCUUCUCCUGCCUCCACAGCCCCGAGCAGUGCCAAAGCAAAUAAAGAUAAUAGAAUGAAAGAAAGAAUUUGCUGUGUGCAAAUUUACUGCUCUAACUUUGCUUUAAUGCCGAGCUGUGGAAAAAAAACAAAGCCAGCCUUCUCUAUUUGUCUUCAUUUAGAAUUAUUGCUCUACUUUUUAUUGCCAUCUUUCCAGCUCACAUUUCUUUUUCAGGGAAAGACUUAUAGGAUUAUGGAAUUGGAAGCAACCUCAAAGGCCAUUUGCUUCAGCCACCUGCAGUGAGGCAAGAUCUAUCGCGCUCACACGCUAACAGAGCAACCCUGAUAGCAGAAUACGGCUUGGGACUGUCCUUGUUACAAUUUCCCAGAAGGAAACAAGAUUCUAGACUUCCAUUGGCUGCCUCCCUGACAAUUAGGGUAGGCCAAAAUGGUGCCCUCCGACUGUUCUUCGACAGCAGCCCUCAACAUCUCUCUCUCCGCUGCCUAUGCUGGCAUCUCUGGAAGGCAUCCUUUGACUAACAUGUUUGGACCUGGUAUAGUAAACUGGGAGAAAUUGACAAGACUUCUACAACUGGAUUAUAAUGCCAGCUGAACUAAGGUGUCCCAUUGGCUUUGUCUUUUCUCCCGUAAGAUUUUAUUGAAGUUUUUUCAUAAUAGUGAGAUAAAAGAAACUCACCUAAAUAAAAACAAAAAUAGAGAAAGAGAAAACAGAGUCCUCUCUCAAAGGUAACACACACUCUCUCUCUCUCUCCAAUUUAGAAUACUUGCAUAAAUCCCUGCAUAUUUUACAAAAACAACCAUUCAGUAUUCCAUUAUUACAUCCAUCAAAACUUAUUUACCCUGUUGCCAUUCUUCUUUGGUUGGGACCCGGCUCAUUUUCCAACUUGGGGCUAACAAAACACAGGCUGCAGUAGUGGCAUACAUAAAUAAGUUUUUUUGACAUCCGGGAAUUUCUGUCUGAAUUAUCCCCAACAGAAAGGACUCUGGUUUGGGGUGGAAAGUCCUUUUAAACAUUUUUUUUCAAUUCAUUAUGGAUCAUUUCCCAAGGCAGUGGUACGUCAGAAGUUGAAUGGAAUCCGCUCCGGAAGUCCUUCCAACUUCCAAAACGUUCGGAAACCAGGGCGUGGCUUCCGAUGGGCUGCAGGAAACUCCUGCAGCCAAUUGGAAGCCGUGUUGGACAUCCAGGUUACAAAAGACAUUUGCAAACUGCAACACUCACUUCCGGGUUUGCAGCAUUCGGGAGCCAAAACGUUCGACUCGCAAGGCAUUCACAAACCAAGGCACGACCGUAUACUUUUACAAGUCCACUACAAAUGAAGGAAUGUUCUCUCAACCUCUUUGCAUCUCCAGCACUUAUCUGAUUCAGCCUUGUACGUCUUGGCAAGCCUACUCCCUUUUCUGAAAUAAUAGCAACAGUAGUGGUAACGGUAAGAAAAGGAAUUAAAAUGGCUGCAUAUGUUAACACUGAACAUGUCUCUCCCACCGAGGCUUUUCUGACAUCCUCUCACAAUCUCCUGAAGGUCAAGCCAUGCUCCAGAGCAUGUGCUGCAGCAUGGGCUCUUAUGGGGUGGCUUCUGUAUGUGCACACAGAAGUGUCUUCAGGUCCUAAAAGGGACUAUUUGAACUCUCGUCACUAUUGGACUCUGGUCACAGCUGAAGGUGCAUAGGGACCCUUUUUGCACAUUCUGCUGAGCCUAUGGAGGGUGAGGGAAGGGCAGUGCGCAGCGGCGGGGACUUGACCCCUUCAUCCCCUUCGUACAUUCAGCAAACACCCGUGGGUGUACAGAGCUGCUUGGGAAGAUCUCCUUGGUUUUAAAGUUUUCCCCUUUGCAUACUUGAGAGGUAAAGGUAUGUAAAGGACCCCUGGAUGGUUCAGUCAAAGACGACUAUGGGGUUGUGGCACUCAUCUUGCUUCCAGGCAGAGGGAGCUGGCGUUUGUCCACAGACAUCUUUCUUGCAGGACUAAACUGCUUCUGGUGCAUCGGAACACCAUGACGGAAACCAGAGCACACGGAAACACCGUUUACCUUCCUGCCACAGUGGUACCUAUUUAUCUACUUGCACUGGUGUGCUUUCGAACUGCUAGGUUGGCAGGAGCUGGAACAGAGCAACAGGAGCUCACUCCGUCAUGGGAGUUCAAACCUCUGACCUUCUGAUCGGCAAGCCCAAGAGACUCAGUGGUUUAGACCACAGUGCUACCCGCGUCCCUGCAUACUUGAGAGAAUUGUACCCAAAGCCUCCAUAGGCAUUGCUCAAGUAGUUGCCCAUUUUAGCUAUGAAAAAAUAUGUGAAUAAUAUUCAUAUACUCCUUAGGGGUAGUAUAAAAGAUAAAAAAAGAUUUUAAAACAUUUUCACCAUUAAAAUAAAUUGAAAGGAGGGAUCAAAGAUGAAGCACUUCGGAAAACAUUUCCCUAUUUGUCACGAAGAGCUUUGCAUGAUUGGGGGAAAAACAAACACGUGCGCAUUCAUACAAUGUAUUUUUGUUCAGAAUUUGUCCCGAGACACAAGCCAAGCCUCAGAGGUCCCAUACCUACUCAACAUAAACCACUGUAGCUUCGCAAUGAAAUCUGAAAAUGCAAUUUUCAUCCAAGAGCAAUAGGCCUAAAGAGAAUACAAACAAAUGAGAGCGAAAAUACACAAAGACAAUUGCAUGCUCAAAUAUAAUCUUUCAAAACAAAAGAUUUUGUUUGCGACGUAUUCAUGGAACAUUUGUUCUAAAUUGGCUGAGUGACUGUGAUUUUUUCUAGUACAGCAUUCGUGUUCAGCAUCAUACACAAUCUUUCCUAUGCUGGUUUUUUACAAGGAAAGGAGCCCAGCAUAUUGUCGCCACUCCCCAGUCUUGCUGCAGCUCUUCUCGUAGGUGGGAGUUGGAUUUUACAUUUUCCCCUCCUGUUGUUUUUUCAGAUCAAAAUCGCCCUCCCCAAGCUACCUUUUCACCUGUGGAGUAGAAAGAUGAAGGAAACACAGAGGUCUUUUCCUCCUUCAAAUGAAAAAGGAGUUUGGGGAGGAGUAAUGUGGAGCUGAAAAGAUACCAGAGAGGAAAGGGUUAAUUAACCACAAGCUACCCCCCCCAUCCACCCUUUUUUCACUCAGAUGGAAUCUGCCCAAUGUCCCUUUUGGUUUGGUUUUGUUUUUUUUAAACCAUGCAGAGGAAGAACUCUAACAACUGCUGAAAAAAUGCAAAAUGAACAUUAAUGUGUUUUUUUUAAAGGUAGUUUAUCCUCUUUUUCAUUUUCGAAUAACAGCCUAAACACAUUGCAAAGAGGAAUUCUGUACCAAAGAAACUCGGAAUUUUAUUCUUGGACUGGUAGAUAACCACAAGACAUCUCUCCCAAUUUUCCAACCCCAGAUACAUUUUUCUUCAUUUUCAAACUUAAAAGGAGGAAUGCUACAUUGGCAUAAUAAUCUCACCCGACUCACCAGACCCAAGAAGUGCCUCUCUAAGGAGCCACAUCAAAUAGAUGUAUAAACAGAAUUUGGGGCUUGUUCUUCUGGACUGGCUGAGAUGGACCUAGUGGGGGCCAGUGGAUAUAGGGAUGAGGAAAUGGGCUUGCUGCCCAUUUCUUGGCAGAUUCCUAGAUUUUAGGAGCUACAGGGAGCUGCUUUUUUACCUCUUCCCCAUCUUCCAACAGAGAGCUCCGUCGGGGCUUCAUAACUUUGAAGAGCACAAAGCUUCUCCUCCCAGAUCUACUGUGGUACCUUGGGUUAAGAACUUAAUUCGUUCUGGAGGUCCGUUCUUAACCUGAAACUGUUCUUAACCUGAGGUACCACUUUAGCUAAUGGGGCCUCCUGCUGUCGCUGCAUGAUUUCUGUUCUAAUCCUGAAGCAAAGUUCUUAACCCGAGGUACUAUUUCUGCAUUAGCGGAGUCUGUAACUUGAAGCAUCUGUAACCCGAGGUACCACUGUAUUUCCGGGGGGGGGGCACAGAAUCAAGGUGCCAAAAAGUUAGGACCGUUGCCAUCUCUGUCUGGAAGAGCUUCUGUGCUGUAACAACUAUCUAACAUACAAAGCUUUAGCAAGUAAAUUUAGGAUCGUAUUCAACUAAGUGUUACUCACUGAAAUUAAUGGCCAUGCUUAAGUCAGGUCCAGUAAUUUCAAUAGAUCUAUUCUUCUAUUGCAGCAAUAUGACUUGACCCCUGUAGGCGCACUCCAUUGUCUCUUAAGACAGAUGGGUGCCAACAAUCAUUUUGAGGAAAACUUAGUUAAAUACCAGCCCUUAGCAAGUAUAUUCUGGGACUCAGAUUUUGCUGCUCGUUGGUUACUAGGGGCUGCCACCUCUGCUCAUUCCACUUGCCAAUCCUGCCUACCAAUUAACCUCUCCCUCCUCCACAGCUGGCCAACCCCUCUUCCCUUUUCACCCCAUGAAUCCUUGCAUAUCCCCUCACAGAUUGUUCAAAACUCCCCUCAAAGUUUGCUCCACCCAACUUCAUGUUGUUGUUUAGUCGUUUAGUCGUGUCCGACUCUUUGUGACCCCAUGGACCAGAGCAUGCCAGGCACUCCUGUCUUCCACUGCCUCCCACAGUUUGGUUAAACUCAUGUUAGUAGCUUCAAGAACACUGUCCAACCAUCUUGUCCUCUGCCGUCCCCUUCUCCUUGUGCCCUCAAUCUUCCCCAACAUCAGGGUCUUUUCCAGGGAGUCUUCUCUUCUCAUGAGGUGGCCAAAGUAUUGGAGCCUCAGCUUCAGGAUCUGUCCUUCCAGUGAGCACUCACGGCUGAUUUCCUUCAGAAUGGAUAGGUUUGAUCUUCUUGCAGUCAAUGGGACUCUCAAGAGUUUCCUCCAGCACCAUAAUUCAAAAGCAUCAAUUCUCCAGCGAUCAGCCUUCUUUAUGGUCCAGCUCUCACUUCCAUAUAUCACUACUUGCUCCAAACCACCCAACUUCCCUCACAGCUCACCUCAACCUCUUUGAAAGGAGGAUGGGAAGUGUUUCAGGGGGCAGUUUGCCUAUCCAAUGGUGGGGGGGGCAAGCUAUGCAAAGAAACAACAACUUUGCUCCCAGGCAGGAUGCCCUGUAUCUUAAAAGAAAAAGGUAAGUCCCCAAACUUGCCUGCGGAAAAAGAUUCCACAAACUGUUUAGGCAGUUUGAUCCUUGGCUGAUCUAUUUUUAUAUUUAGGAAUUUAUUCCUGAUGCACAGCCUAAAACUGUCUCCCCUGUUGUUUAAAUCCACUGAUCUUUCACCUCUGUUUGGUGGAUAAAAUGAACAUUUCUUUUAAAUCCAGGGCAUUGCAUUUAAAGGAGGAGGAGGAAGAGGAGGAGGAAGGGGAAGAAGAAGAAGAAGAAGAAGAAGAAGAAGAAGAAGAAGAAGAAGAACUCUAACAUUUAGAGUUACUUUUUGCAAACUUGGAU